rnacentral:lncRNA from 1 species
CUUUGCUUAAUAAAUCUUGUGGGGUGGUUAUUUGUGUGUCUCAUCCAAUUCUUUGUUCAUAACACCAAGAACCUGGAACUCCCAACUUCCAAUCUGGUAACAUAUUUUGGUGAGCCAGCCAGGAGGGUCAAGCCUGCAAUACCUAAAGCUCCAGACCUGGAACCCAAAGCUCCCAUCAGUCGCUACCCUGUGAACCUGUGGAGGAUCUGAAGUACCUGUUUAAAAGGCAUCCAAAAGAUAGGUCUUGUUGAACUGGCUAGUGCUUCAACAACAAUGCUAAAUAAUAAAGGAUCUAACAAUAUUUCUGCUUUAAAUUGAUUUCAGAGGGAAUGUCUCUAACGUUGCAAUUCGAUUCAGUUGGAAAGACAUGGUUAAUGCUUAAGAGAGCCAGAAGAACCCAAAUCUUUGAACACACUUAGAGCAACCACAAACUGCUGUUAGAAAACUAAUGUUAAUGUUUAAGAAGUACUUGUUAUUUUAGUUUACCUU